GGAAGUACUGAUUAUAUACUAUUAAUAUUAAUAUUUUUAAUAUAUAUUUAGUUAAAGUUGUUUUUUUAAGCGCAAACAAGAAAUAUUAGUGACGGCGAGACUACACCCGCAAACUGCUGUACGACGGGGUGAUCAAGUACAACAUGAGGUCCAGAGUGCUCAAUUUCAGCAUGAGCAAGCCUCGGAUCAAGUUCAACAGCAUCUAGAUAACAGAAACAAACAAAAAAACUACUUAUCCAACACCCUUAAGAGAUUGGUUUCUCUCCAUUCAAAUAAUGAGCAAGAUGUAUACUCUGCAGUUCCAAAUAUGAACCAGAGCAUUCCAGAGUUCAUAUUACACGGAUGCAAAGUCAAACAGAUUCUGUUGGCAGCAUUUUCCCCGAACCAGAUUCUCUAACUUCAGCCUCAGCGACGCAUCACCGUCCGUUGAGGAUCGUACAUCCAUGCAGAAAUGACAAUGGUACCCGAUACCAGAAACUUAAUGGAAUUUUAGUCAAGUACAUGGGUUAAUAUCUCAAUCAUGAGUUUGUUAAUAGGGCAAAAAGCCAAAGCCAGUGGGUACGUAGGUUUGAGUUUAGGAAUAUAGUAGCCAAACCCGUAAACAUAUGGAAUUUUUAAACUCGAUCUGACUACUCUAUUAGUACAAAGUACACUAAAUUUCUCAAGCGGAAUGGUCUAAUUCGUGGUGCAUGCUCGUUCAGGGAUGAAUCUCGGAAAAUAUUUAGAGGAGUUUCUUUUUCUAUUUUAAGAUAGCUUCAAUCCCUUCUUAAAGUACAAUAAUGAUAAAGAUUUGUAGGAGAGGCUAAGGAGGGAUUCCAUGGGUUUGACGGCCCUAGGGGGGCUCAUCCCAUAUCAACAAAGAAAAUAACAAAAAAAAAAAAGAUAGAAAGAAGGAAAGUGAAAGUGCUGUUCCCGCUGCAUGGACCUUCCUAGUCGUAGCUAACGGAGCGGAGCGCGUCUUUGUUUGGUGCAUGGGCCUUGUCGAAAUGCUCUGGCCCAUAUGUGCAUGCAAACACUCGCUGUUGUUUCUGAAUUUGGUACCACAGUGCUUAUACAAGGAACAUAGUGCGAUUUUUUUUUAUUUUUAACCUUUUUAAAAUAUUUUUUCAAGAUUAACACCGUUGCCUUUCAAGAUAUGAUUUUUCUAAAGUGACAAGAACGGUGCACGAUUAAUAUACCGCUGAAAUUGUAUAUUAUUUUUUGAACAUCUUACUCAAAUGAAAAAACUCAAAAUUAUAACCUUGUAGAUCUUAACGAGAGCUAGGAUUUUUAAUAUAAAGUAUAUCCCAUUUGACACCAUGCAAAAAAGAUAUGAUUUUUCUAAGGCAACAAGCACUUAUACACGAUUAAUAUACAACUGAUUUUUAAUUUUUUUUAACAACUUAAUGAUCUCAAAUUAAAAAAACUCAAAACUAGAAAGUUGUAGAUCGUCGAGGGCUACAAUAUUCAUGUAAACAUCAUAUUCACCCAAAAUCAUAUGUAAAAGAUACUUCCUUCAUACUUGAAAUUUUUGACGUUUAGGACAUGUUUAUGGUAACCAAUGAGUGAUUAAUUAGGGGAUAUUUUUCCUCCUUUGUCCUUAUUAAAUAGGUCUACAGGUGUAUUCUUGUUAAGAAAGUUUUGCAGUUCAAAUGGCUAGUGCGUGGGGGUGUUGGCCUUGAGGUUGUUGAUUCAAUACCUUGCAGACACCCUUUUUUUCGUCCAGCGCUUAGUUUUUGCAGAGGGAGAUGAAGGAGGCGUGCGCAGAGGGAGUCGCGGGUUGCAUGCGUGCUAGCAAUUAAUGUCGGCGAGGGCCGAGGAGGGCACACGCGUGUUGGAUGCGGUUUGCAGAGGGAGAUGAAGGAGGCGCGCGCAUGCUAGCAAUGAAUGUGGGCAAGGGCCGAGGAGGGCACACACGUGUUGAAUGUGGCGGUAGCGGAAGAUUUUUGCAAAGGGGGAUGAAGGAGGCGCACAGAGGGAGUUGCGGGAUGCGUGCGUGCUAGCAAUGAAUGUGGGCAAGGGCC
rnacentral:lncRNA from 1 species